GCACAAGCAGCGGAGCGUGUGGUUUAAUUCGAUGCUACACGAAGAACCUUACCAGGGUUUGACAUACAAGUAGUAGGGAAAGGAAACUGGACGACCCUUCGGGGAGCUUGUACAGGUGCUGCAUGGCUGUCGUCAGCUCGUGUCGUGAGAUGUUCGGUUAAGUCCGCUAACGAGCGCAACCCUCGCUGUGUGUUACAAGUGUCACACGGAACUGCCGGUCAUAAACCGGAGGAAGGUGGGAUGACGUCAAGUCAGCAUGGCCUUUAUAUCUUGGGCUACACACGCUACAAUGGGUGGCACAAUAGGUUGCAACAGUGCGAACUGAAGCUAAUCCCCAAAGCCAUCCUCAGUACAGAUUGCAGGCUGAAACCCGCCUGCAUGAAGUCGGAGUUGCUAGUAACCGCAAAUCAGCAUGUUGCGGUGAAUACGUUCCCGGGCCUU
rnacentral:rRNA from 1 species